GAUGAACGCUAGCUACAGGCUUAACACAUGCAAGUCGAGGGGAAACGACAUCGAAAGCUUGCUUUUGAUGGGCGUCGACCGGCGCACGGGUGAGUAACGCGUAUCCAACCUGCCCACCACUUGGGGAUAACUUUGCGAAAGUAAGACUAAUACCCAAUGACGUCUCUAGAAGACAUCUGAAAGAGAUUAAAGAUUUAUCGGUGAUGGCUGGGGAUGCGUCUGAUUAGAUUGUUGGCGGGGUAACGGCCCACCAAGGCGACGAUAAGUAGGGGUUCUGAGAGGAAGGUCCCCCACAUUGGAACUGAGACACGGUCCAAACUCCUACGGGAGGCAGCAGUGAGGAAUAUUGGUCAAUGGACGAGAGUCUGAACCAGCCAAGUAGCGUGCAGGAUGAUGGCCCUAUGGGUUGUAAACUGCUUUUAUAAGGGAAUAAAGUGAGAGUCGUGACUCUUUUUGCAUGUACCUUAUGAAUAAGGACCGGCUAAUUCCGUGCCAGCCGCCGCAGUAA
rnacentral:rRNA from 1 species